CCAAUUUUGGCGGCCCCAACAAUUAUGUUCCGAAAAUUACAGUUAGCUGAAUUGUAAUAUUGUGACUAUAGUGUUGCUAGAGAACUGAUCGACAAUAGUGUCAACUAGGAUUUGACACAUCUCCACUUGCAAGGCUACAACCAGAUAUAGUCCUUAGAUUGAUUAAUUACACACACGUACAAGGAAAUAUAUCACUUGAAAUGUGUGAUUUGCAUCGAGAAGAACACCGAGAUAGGAUCAAAGCAUGCGCACUGCUUUAUAGUCUACAUCAACAAACCGUUGGCGAGCAUGUUGAGACCAUGAGCCCACGUGGGACCUCCAAAGAACUUGAAAAUCACGGACAUUGCCAGCAAGGUUGUGGUGAAUUAAAGAGAUUUAAUCAAUCCAGAGAUGUUGUAAAUUGAUACAAUUGAACCUCAUACUUGGAGAGACGAUGCCGUUGACUUCCGCAACGAUGAGCAAGGUGGCGAAUACCCGCUAGAGAGUGGAGAACUUCUAGCACCACUCGACAGCCAGAUCAUCAACCAUGUAAGGUCCACUGGGUCCAGAUGUGCAAGGCAAACACGCAGAGGUCUUCGAUAGGCUUGUGCAGACGGAGCUUACAGCCAGAUCCAAGCGGAUACACCAGCCAUAGCUGGCCCUAUGCUGGGUGGCGGCAUGUGUGAGCAUGAGCUUGACAUGAACGUGAGGUAUAGAUGAUUGACGAAGAAUGACUUCGUUGUAUCCAUCGACGCCAUACCCUUUGCCAAAACAAACUACCUUCUCUUGUGUCCAUGAACUUUUGUUAGCGUUUAGUGAAUCAUGCAAUAGCUACAAGAUAGCUUGUUGGGGGAGUUUGACUGGUGCUGGUGUUACAUGUAUGUACUUUGUGUCUGAAAUGGAUGGAUGGGUGUUGUAC